GCUGAAGGACUUUGAUAAGCAGGAGUUCUGGUUAAGCAUUGUACAUUUUGUAGCGGAAGGAUUUUGCAGUGUUUGAUCAUAUUCAUGUUAAUCUAAAAUUUCUUGUUCAGGGCAGGAGAAUGGAAAACAGAGGUCAAAAAACUCCUUUCUUUACAUGGAAUGUUUUGCAACCUUUUCUGCUUCAACUUCUAAACAGCGUUGAAUGGUGUUUUCCUUCUAGCAUGUUCCUUUGGACAUCGCCACGUACAAGCAUUUUAAUAAGCAGUUCCACUGAGAUCAACUACACCUGUAAGAAAAUGUUUUAUUUGAGUUAAUAGUACAUUUGCUGCAGGGAAGGAGAGAAAAAAUGUGAAAAUGCAAGCAAUUAUUGUAGAACCAAUAAUGCAUCCUCUGUGGCAAAACAUCUAACCGAUCAUGCUUACCAACCUAAUUAGUCUAUUUUUCUUUCCAGGAUGCAGCUGGUAGGUGUAGUUUUUUGGUAUACCUUGAUGAUUUUAUUAAGGAAUGGAGAAUGAUGAUUAAUAUAAAUAUUUAUACACUUGUAUUUUACUUUUUUUUUUUCC